rnacentral:rRNA from 1 species
GGUUGAUCCUGCCAGUAGUCAUAUGCUUGUCUCAAAGAUUAAGCCAUGCAUGUCUAAGUAUAAAUCUCUAUACGGUGAAACUGCGAAUGGCUCAUUAAAUCAGUUAUAAUUUAUUUGAUAGUACCUUACUACUUGGAUAACCGUGGUAAUUCUAGAGCUAAUACAUGCAUCAAGGCCCGACUUUUUGGAGGGCUGUAUUUAUUAGGUAAAAACCAAUGCUGGCAACAGCUAUUAGGUGAUUCAUAAUAACUUCUCGGAUCGUAUGACCUUGUGUCGACGACGUAUCAUUCAAA